rnacentral:rRNA from 1 species
GACGAACGCUGGCGGCGGGCCUAAUACAUGCAAGUCGAACGAGUUGCGGACGGGUUGGUAACCCGUGGUAACCUACCCAUCAGUGGGGGAUAAGACUUGGAAACAGGUGCUAAUACCGCAUACUGUUGGAUGGCACCUCGGUGAAUUAGCUAGUUGGGGAGGUAACGGCUCACCAAGGCGACGAUGCAUAGCUGGCCUGAGAGGGUGAUCGGCCACACUGGAACUGAGACACGGUCCAGACUCCUACGGGAGGCAGCAGUGGGGAAUAUUGCACAAUGGGCGCAAGCCUGAUGCAGCCAUGCCGCGUGUAUGAAGAAGGCCUUCGGGUUGUAAAGUACUUUCAGCGGGGAGGCGUUACCCGCAGAAGAAGCACCGGCUAACUCCGUGCCAGCAGCCGCGGUAAUAC